rnacentral:tRNA from 1 species
GAGGAUGUAGCUCAGUGGUGAAGGGCUUGCCCGGCAUGCAUGGGACCCUCGGUUCAAACCCCAGCACCACA